UGCAAGCUGGGGCGCGGCGUCGUUUCCGGAUUAAUUUCCUGUCUGUGCCAAAAUACUCGAUACAGCGUCGUUCGCAUUCAGUGGCGAGUCUGAGGUAGUUUGUGGGAAGCCUUCGCCACCAGCCGGUGUAGGUCAGAAUUGGGGGUUCGUCUCUGAGUAAGCAGCUACCGUUCCGUUCGACGAUGGAAGUCAGUCAAAUUGCGACGCCCCUGGUUGUCCUCCUCGUGGCCCUGACUUGCUCCGCCGCACCCGAGGGAAGCAGACUGGACGAAGAUUGCGGAAACACAUCGUGCAUUCCAGAAGAGUGCGAGAUGAUGGGCUCCGUUUGUGUUGAGAACAGCUGCGGACAGCUAGAGUGCGUUAGUCAGACCACUGCGCACCAUUCGGGAAUGUGUCCCUACAUGGGAUCCGCAUCUGACGAGGAGUGUGCCGACAAGGAGUCGGAAACGACGUGCGAUGAUCUCGGCUGCCAGAAGGAAGGAAAAGUUUGCUGCCCGGACAAAUGCGGCUACUUGCGCUGUACGUGAGCGCGCGCUCCAAGGGGGCUCCCACGCAACUGUAGGACGCGACGGGGUCAGCGCGCGCGCGCUAUUAUUAAUAAAUGAAGCCACAACAAAAA